rnacentral:lncRNA from 1 species
AUGGGGGUGUCCCUCCCCCAAUCUUCUGAGUCGCAACAGCAUCUCCCUCCCUCCAGGACCUCAGAGCCAGAGCUGGGCGAGAGGCCCUGACCUCCGGGGUGCCAGAAGCCCAGGAAGCACACAUCAAGGCUCGCUUGCCAGCGGGGUGCUGCCAAUAAAAUGUAGUCACGUGGAAUUUGGGAUGUGGAAAGGAGGUAGAAGUCAUCCUUUCCUCCCCCAUAGCAGCAGGUGUGCAGGCUCUGGUGGUCAGCUGGACUCCAUACUCCCCCACCAGUCACCAGCCUGGGGACCGUGGGGCUGCAAGGACCUCAGCAGCAGUUUCCCAAGUUUCCUGACUUCUUCCAUCCUCUGGAAAUCAGCUGUGAGCUAUCAGCUUCCCAGUUUGCACAAUUCAUCAAGAAAUUAUGCGGGGUCACUGGCACAAAUGAUGAGGCAUCUCCUGGAAGCUUAACUUCUUAUCCAUCCCAUCUCUUGGACAGAUGAUGCCAGUUAAUUACUUUGAAUGCUCCUCCACCAAGCCAAGGCCAGACUCCUGCAAUCAUAGGAUGGCAACACCACCUCUAAAGCACAGAACUUCAGCCUUUGCUUCGGAAGUGGCACCAUGGUCUCUUCAUUUUCCCUUUCUUCAAGGUCAGAAAACUGAAGCUGUUAGGAGUUUUAGUGUUAAGUUCCUUCCGAGGAUGUUAAUUAGGCUUCAAACUGUUUUGUUCUGAGAAAUAAAAACUAAACUCCAGUCAUUCAAGCUAA